CUCCACCACUCUUUGACAAGCCACGACAAGAGCCACCAUCCUGCUCCACUCUCUGCAACGGAUUCCAUGCAGCUCCACCACUCUCUGGCAAGUCCCGACAACGAACACCACUCCACUCUCCGCAACAAGCUCCACGUGGCCCUGAACGACCCCUGACGCCACUACUCUCCGUAACAAACUCCACGCGGCUCUGAGCGAUCCACUACC
rnacentral:lncRNA from 1 species